rnacentral:rRNA from 1 species
UACGUAGGGGGCUAGCGUUGUCCGGAUUUAUUGGGCGUAAAGAGCGCGUAGGCGGCCGAGUAAGUCCGACGUGAAAUCUGGAGGCUCAACCUCCAGCGGUCGUUGGAAACUACUCGGCUAGAGUCCGGAAGAGGAGAGUGGAAUUCCUGGUGUAGCGGUGAAAUGCGCAGAUAUCAGGAAGAACACCGAUGGCGAAGGCGACCUCCUGGCCUGUUCUUGACGCUGAGGCGCGAAAGCUAGGGUAGCAAACGGG